rnacentral:rRNA from 1 species
UAAUACAGAGGCCACGAGCGUUAGGCGGAAUCACUGGGCUUAAAGCGUGUGUAGGUGGAUCGGUAAGUACCUUGUAAAAUCCCACAGCUCAACUGUGGAACUGCUCGGUAUACUGCCAGUCUUGAGGCACUCAGGGGCGAGCGGAACAAGUGGUGGAGCGGUGAAAUGCGUAGAUAUCACUUGGAACGCCAAUGGUGAAGACAGCUCGCUGGGGGUGAACUGACACUGAGACACGAAAGCCAGGGGAGCGAACGGG